rnacentral:rRNA from 1 species
GACGAACGCUGGCGGCGUGCUUAACACAUGCAAGUCGAACGGAAAGGCCCUGCUUUUGUGGGGUGCUCGAGUGGCGAACGGGUGAGUAACACGUGAGUAACCUGCCCUUGACUUUGGGAUAACUUCAGGAAACUGGGGCUAAUACAGGAUAGGAGCUCCUGCUGCAGGGUGGGGGUUGGAAAGUUUCGGCGGUUGGGGAUGGACUCGCGGCUUAUCAGCUUGUUGGUGGGGGAGUGGCUGACCAAGGCUUUGACGGGUAGCCGGCCUGAGAGGGUGACCGGCCACCUUGGGCCUGCGGUACGCCCCAGACUCCUACGGGCGGCAGCGGUGGGGAAUCUUGCACAGUGGGCGGAAGCCUGUUGCGGCAACGCCGCGUGCGUGAUGACGGCCUUCGGGUUGUGAACCGCUUUCGCCUGUGACGAAGCGUGAGUGACGGUACUGGGUAAAGAAGCACCGGCUAACUACGUG